rnacentral:tRNA from 2 species
GGGCCCGUGGCUCAAUUGGAUAGAGUACUCGGCUACGAACCGAGCGGUUACUGGUUCGACUCCAGUCGGGCCCA